GUGCUUUAGGAAUAUGAAGUUCGUUUCAACAGAAGUAUUGAACAUUUAAUGCAAAAGGGGGGUUAAAAUGCAACUACAUAAAAUAGAUUACUAAUAUUAAAAGUUACACGUUUUAUAAUAAUAAUAAUUAAUAGUAGAAUACACUUUGACCAUUAUGGCUUUGACAAGUCAGAUGAGUCACUAAGCCCAUUUCAUUGAAAUGGGUAGUUAAGAAUUUGCCUUACAAAUAAUAAUGUGAGAU
rnacentral:lncRNA from 1 species